UAAGCUUCAGUUAGAGGUAAUACUAUCUUGUCAAGGUAGAGAGAAAGUGCUUAA
rnacentral:tRNA from 1 species